GUAUAUAUAUAUAAAUACGACAGUACAUAUUCUAAAAUUGGAAUGAUACAGAGAAGGUUAGCUGCUCAAGGUUGACACGCAAAUUCGUGAAGCGUUCGAACAUGUU